rnacentral:rRNA from 1 species
UAGGGAAUCUUCCGCAAUGGGCGAAAGCUUGACGGAGCAACGCCGCGUGAGUGAUGAAGGUCUUCGGAUCGUAAAACUCUGUUAUUAGGGAAGAACAAAUGUGUAAGUAACUAUGCACGUCUUGACGGUACCUAAUCAGAAAGCCACGGCUAAAUACGUGCCAGCAGCCGCGGUAAUACGUAUGGAGCGAGCGUUGUCCGGAAUUAUUGGGCGUAAAGGGUACGCAGGCGGUUUAAUAAGUCGAAUGUUAAAGAUCGGGGCUCAACCCCGUAAAGCAUUGGAAACUGAUAAACUUGAGUAGUGGAGAGGAAAGUGGAAUUCCUAGUGUAGUGGUGAAAUACGUAGAUAUUAGGAGGAAUACCAGUAGCGAAGGCGACUUUCUGGACACAAACUGACGCUGAGGUACGAAAGCGUGGGGAGCAAACAGG